rnacentral:lncRNA from 1 species
GCUCUUUAUCUUUCUUACGUGCGCUCUCUGUCUCUCUCUUGCUCUUGCUCUCUCCCUGUUCAUCUCUUCUCUUUUCUCUCUCUCUCUUUCCUUCUUUCCUUUCUCUUUGUGGCACUGCUGCAAUAAAGAUCUUUUGGUUGCUCCGAGUGUUGUGGUCACUUUCCUUUCAUUGGUGCCGAAACCCGGGAGAGGGUUAAAACCCACUUUUGGGUCCCUCUUCCUUCGGAAGUGCCACUCACCAGAUGGCCUGAACCCAGGCCUGAACCCAUUUUCUCGACUGCCAGAACUCCAUCCACCACCGACCUUCGAUUGGUGAGUUUCCCCUUCCUGGAGUCCUAAACCCAAUGGUGGUGUCAGGAGGAUUUGGCCGUUGAUUGUCCGGCAAACCUCUUUGCCCACCUGCGGGGAGGAAAACACCCCACCACAGCCUUUAAGGCUACGGUGGCCCUCAGGGACUCCUUCCUAGGGCAGAAUAGACUCCUGGGUUCAAAAUUAUUCCCUUCCCUUCCCAGCUGUUAGUUACCAGCAUAGGCUUUGUAGGUCUCCCUCAAAGGACUGUGUAACCUCCAGGGACACAUAACAGAGAACUGAACAUCACAGUCCACCCAGACCUUCACCAUCUCUGUGGCUCUCCUAAAAUCCUAGUCCUCACACCUUCAAGACUCGGCUGCUAGAGAGAACCUUACCCUCCC